CCUACGGGCGGCUGCAGUGGGGAAUAUUGGACAAUGGGGGCAACCCUGAUCCAGCCAUGCCGCGUGUGUGAAGAAGGCCCUCGGGUUGUAAAGCACUUUCAGUGAGGAAGAACGCCUGGUGGUUAAUACCCAUCAGGAAAGACAUCACUCACAGAAGAAGCACCGGCUAACUCCGUGCCAGCAGCCGCGGUAAUACGGCGGGUGCGAGCGUUAAUCGGAAUUACUGGGCGUAAAGCGCGCGUAGGUGGCUUGAUAAGCCGGUUGUGAAAGCCCCGGGCUCAACCUGGGAACGGCAUCCGGAACUGUCAAGCUAGAGUGCAGGAGAGGAAGGUAGAAUUCCCGGUGUAGCGGUGAAAUGCGUAGAGAUCGGGAGGAAUACCAGUGGCGAAGGCGGCCUUCUGGACUGACACUGACACUGAGGUGCGAAAGCGUGGGUUGCAAACAGGAUUAGAUACCCUUGUAGUC
rnacentral:rRNA from 1 species